rnacentral:rRNA from 1 species
GACGAACGCUGGCGGCGCGCCUAACACAUGCAAGUCGAGCGAUGAAAUUUUAACCGAUCUCUUCGGAGAGAAGAUAAAAUGGAUUAGCGGCGGACGGGUGAGUAACACGCGAGAAACCUGCCUUUCACAAGGGGAUAGCCUCGGGAAACCGGGAUUAAUACCCUAUGGCACAUUUCCUUCGCAUGGAAGAAAUGUUAAAACUCCGGUGGUGAAAGAUGGUCUCGCGCCUGAUUAGCUAGUUGGUGGGGUAACGGCCCACCAAGGCCAUGAUCAGUAACCGGCCUGAGAGGGUGAACGGUCACAUUGGAACUGAGACCCGGUCCAAACUCCUACGGGAGGCAGCAGUGGGGAAUAUUGCACAAUGGAGGAAACUCUGAUGCAGCGACGCCGCGUGAGCGAUGAAGGCUUUCGAGUCGUAAAGCUCUGUCCUAUGGGAAGAUAAUGACGGUACCAUAGGAGGAAGCCCCGGCUAACUACGUG